AGUGAACGCUGGCGGUAGGCCUAACACAUGCAAGUCGAACGGCAGCACAGUAAGAGCUUGCUCUUACGGGUGGCGAGUGGCGGACGGGUGAGGAAUACAUCGGAAUCUACUUUUUCGUGGGGGUUAACGUAGGGAAACUUACGCUAAUACCGCAUACGACCUACGGGUGAAAGCAGGGGAUCUUCUGACCUUGCGCGAUUGAAUGAGCCGAUGUCGGAUUAGCUAGUUGGCGGGGUAAAGGCCCACCAAGGCGACGAUCCGUAGCUGGUCUGAGAGGAUGAUCAGCCACACUGGAACUGAGACACGGUCCAGACUCCUACGGGAGGCAGCAGUGGGGAAUAUUGGACAAUGGGCGCAAGCCUGAUCCAGCCAUACCGCGUGGGUGAAGAAGGCCUUCGGGUUGUAAAGCUCUUUUGUUGGGAAAGAAAAGCAGCAGGUUAAUACCCCGCUGUUCUGACGGUACCCAAAGAAUAAGCACCGGCUAACUUCGUG
rnacentral:rRNA from 1 species